GACUUCAUCGCGAUACACUCCCCUAAUGAGGAUCUGUCAUACAGUCGUAAUGAGAACUGCAGCUCUUGCCUUAUUCGUCGCUUUGGCGGCUGCUUUGUUGAAGACUGGAGAUUCGGUGACUUGUGGAAGCGCCAUUUGUCCGUCUGUCUACGCACCGAUGUGUGCUCAGACUGCUGAUUCCACAUGGACGCUGUUUGAGAACGAGUGUCAGCUGAACAGCUGCGGUGGUGAGGCGCAAUUUCCGGUCACGUGUGAGACAACAGUGACGUCAGUUGCAGACUGUUUUUGCUGAUGAUGUCACGAGAUCCGGGUGCGGAUACACUUUCAUUCGUGAAUGUGCUAGUAAAGCAAAAUUACACAAA